rnacentral:piRNA from 1 species
UAUGUCACUAGGUUUUCCUGCUAGAGG